rnacentral:rRNA from 1 species
GUGAGGAAUAUUGGUCAAUGGGCGAGAGCCUGAACCAGCCAAGUCGCGUGAAGGAAGAAGGAUCUAUGGUUCGUAAACUUCUUUUGCAGGGGAAUAAAGUGCAGGACGUGUCCUGUUUUGUAUGUACCCUGAGAAUAAGGAUCGGCUAACUCCGUGCCAGCAGCCGCGGUAAUACGGAGGAUCCGAGCGUUAUCCGGAUUUAUUGGGUUUAAAGGGUGCGUAGGUGGUUUGAUAAGUCAGCGGUGAAAGUUUGCAGCUUAACUGUAAAAAUGCCGUUGAAGCUGUCGGACUUGAGUGUAAAUGAGGUAGGCGGAAUGCGUGGUGUAGCGGUGAAAUGCAUAGAUAUCACGCAGAACUCCGAUUGCGAAGGCAGCUUACUAAGCUACAACUGACACUGAAGCACGAAAGCGUGGGGAUCAAACAGGAUUAGAUACCCUGGUAGUCC